UGCUGGAUAGCUCACUCGGUAAAGCUUCGUGCUGCGAAGCAGAAGUAACUAUCAUGUCGCGGGUUCGAUCCCCGCCUCGUAA